rnacentral:rRNA from 1 species
UACGAAGGGACCUAGCGUAGUUCGGAAUUACUGGGCGUAAAGCGCGCGUAGGCCGUUGAGUUAGUUAAUUGUGAAAUCCCAAAGCUUAACUUUGGAACUGCAAUUAAAACUGCUCGACUAGAGUUUGAUAGAGGAAAGCGGAAUACAUAGUGUAGAGGUGAAAUUCGUAGAUAUUAUGUAAAACACCAGUUGCGAAGGCGGCUUUCUGGAUCAACACUGACGCUGAGGCGCGAAAGUAUGGGUAGCAAAGAGGAUUAGAUACCCUCGUAGUCCAUACCAUAAACGAUGAUUGCUAGAUGUUGGAAAUUUAUUUUCAGUAUCGCAGCUAACGCAUUAAGCAAUCCGCCUGGGGAGUACGACCGCAAGGUUAAAACUCAAAUGAAUUGACGGGGACCCGCACAAGCGGUGGAGCAUGUGGUUUAAUUCGAAGAUACGCGCAGAACCUUACCAACCCUUGACAUGUCUGUCGCGAGUUUAGGAAACUAGACUUUUCGGUUCGGCCGGACAGAACACAGGUGCUGCAUGGCUGUCGUCAGCUCGUGUCGUGAGAUGUUGGGUUAAGUCCCGCAACGAGCGCAACCCCUACUUUUAGUUGCCAUCAGGUCAUGCUGGGCACUCUGAAAGAACUGCCAGUGAUAAGCUGGAGGAAGGUGGGGAUGACGUCAAGUCCUCAUGGCCCUUACGGGUUGGGCUACACACGUGCUACAAUGGUAGUGACAAUGAGAUGCAAGGUGGCGACGCUAAGCUAAACUCAAAAAUCUACCUCAGUUCGGAUUGCACUCUGCAACUCGAGUGCAUGAAGCUGGAAUCGCUAGUAAUCGUAGAUCAGCGUGCUACGGUGAAUACGUUCCCGGGUCU